AUAAUGACUCUCGGCAACGGAUAUCUAGGCUCUUGCAUCGAUGAAGAACGUAGCGAAAUGCGAUACUUGGUGUGAAUUGCAGAAUCCCGUGAACCAUCGAGUCUUUGAACGCAAGUUGCGCCCGAUGCCAUUAGGUUGAGGGCACGUCUGCCUGGGUGUCACAU
rnacentral:rRNA from 6 species